AUUGAACGCUGGCGGCAUGCCUUACACAUGCAAGUCGAACGGCAGCACGGGAGCAAUCCUGGUGGCGAGUGGCGAACGGGUGAGUAAAGUAUCGGAACGUGCCCAGUCGUGGGGGAUAACGUAGCGAAAGUUACGCUAAUACCGCAUACGAUCUAUGGAUGAAAGCGGGGGAUCGCAAGACCUCGCGCGAUUGGAGCGGCCGAUAUCAGAUUAGGUAGUUGGUGGGGUAAAGGCUCUCCAAGCCGACGAUCUGUAGCUGGUCUGAGAGGACGACCAGCCACACUGGGACUGAGACACGGCCCAGACUCCUACGGGAGGCAGCAGUGGGGAAUUUUGGACAAUGGGCGAAAGCCUGAUCCAGCCAUGCCGCGUGCAGGAUGAAGGCCUUCGGGUUGUAAACUGCUUUAGUACGGAACGAAAAGGUUUGGGCUAAUAAGCUGAGCUCAUGACGGUACCGUAAGAAUAAGCACCGGCUAACUACGUGCCAGCCGCCGCCGUAA
rnacentral:rRNA from 1 species